CCAGCCGUGCAAGGUAAAAAAGUCAAGAAGGCUUUUAGCUGCCUGAACAAAAGUCUGCCUUAGUCAAUGAGACCAAAGCUAUGGAAUCUGCCUGCCAUCAUUCACCUGAGGCACCUGAAUGAGUUAAUAAUUACCAAUAUGUCUGGAGGAUUAAAAUCACCCCUCUGUUACAGAUGAUAUGAGAAUGUUAAUCUGGAAUCCAGUAAUCAAUAAAUUUGAAGAUACACCUUUAGGUGGGAAAUAUUUACUGGACAACAUGGGAAUUUAAGUCCAACUGGAAGCUUGAGACACCAGAAAAAAUGCACAGGGAUCAUUGCAGGAAAAUGUUUCACAUUUUCAUUUUUAAAGUUUCUGCGCUUUAUAGCCCAAAAUACCCAACAAAUUACAAUUUACAAUUCAAAGAAAAUGCAGAGGUAAGACUGUUAUGACCACAUUCUUUAAUAACUUUUAAUAUUAAAAUUUUUUAAAACUUGACCGUUUAUUAAAUUCAGAAAAUAGUUGAGGACCAUCUAGCUCAUAUACAUGUUGAUGUUG